ACAAGGUGAAACAGAGAGGUACGAGUCAAUAUCAUAGGAGUUCAAGGACAAAAUAAUUGUGAAUGUAGUCAAGCUCCUGGCUAUGUUCUCUCUAUAAGUGGCUGUACUUCAGACACUGGCCUAUUCUACUGUUCCUGUUUUAUGAGGAGCAACGCUGUAAGAGGAGCUCAGUCUGUGAGGAAGAGCAGAGGCAUUGAGAGGCUGAAGCAUUUUCCUGAGUGCCCUUUCCAUGGUGCUCUGCACAAAAGUGAAGCCAGUCCAAAUACCUCUCUUUUUCAGCCUAACCACAGAGCUGUCGAACACUGACUGUUCCAAACCAUCUUAAAGAUGCCCCUUCUCAGUCACUCCAGGAGAAAAUUUCCAGAAAGAAAAUCCAUCAAGCUGAACACAUGUGAGCAAGGAGAGGUGCCUAGCCUUUCUAAAAGGAGCAGCAGAGAACUGGGCACAUGCUGCUCCAUGGCACUCACACCCUUCUCCAGCGCUGCUCCUUUGGCAGUGUUUUCACGCUCAACAUACAGCAGCCAAGAAUAUUAAAACAUGGAAUCUUCACCCUGCUGUUAAAAGCAUCACCGACAACAAAAUAUGCAUUUUAAAGAAUUGUCGGGUUCUUACUUGACCAUGGUUCUCUACAUCAAAAAGUAGGGAAGAGUGUAAGAAAAGUGGCUCAGACUAAGCUGAAUAGGAAUUAGAGUGCAAGAAGAAGAGGGCUUGCACAAAUCUGUAAGACUGAACAGUGGAGAGGCAAUAAAAGAGAAGAUUUGCUGGAGAAAGGAACCUGAAGCCCAAAAGGAAAUCUAUAGACUUCUUGCAAUGUUUUUCUUUAGAUUAAAAACCAAGUGGUGUCAAGGAAAGGUGUUAGAAUUUAGAGAUCUCUGAGGAAAGUCCCUCUCUCUUCACUUUUGAAAUAAAAGGUUUUCCAAAUACUCUUGCAAAUAAAACAAUAGAAAGAAAAUAUGUGGUUUGUUUUGAGACAUGCAUAGAAGCAUUUAUGGCAGCUCUAAAGCAUUGUUGAUAUGAUGCUGUUAUCUUUUUUUAGCCAGCAAAAAUGUGGCUUUGAUCCUUAACACCUUUGUAACACAGGUGAUGCAAUACAAAUGGGAUUGCUCUUGGCAUGCCAUGGGAAGUUUUGCUCCUUUUUCUCAAGAUGGGUGAGAAUGGAUCUGUUCUGUG